rnacentral:rRNA from 1 species
CACGUAGGGCGCAAGCGUUGUCCGGAAUUAUUGGGCGUAAAGAGCUCGUAGGCGGUCUGUUGCGUCCGCUGUGAAAACCCGGGGCUUAACCCUGGGCUGGCAGUGGAUACGGACAGAUUAGAGGUAGGUAGGGGAGAAUGGAAUUCCCGGUGUAGCGGUGAAAUGCGCAGAUAUCGGGAGGAACACCGGUGGCGAAGGCGGUUCUCUGGGCCUUACCUGACGCUGAGGAGCGAAAGCGUGGGGAGCGAACAGG